GAGCCUUGGGUGUUGGACAGCAGAUAGUGGCGAACGGGUGAGUAACGCGUAGACAACCUGCCUCUAAACUGGGGACAACACCGCGAAAGUGGUGCUAAUACCGAAUGUGGUAACUUGGCUGCAUGGCUAAGUUAAGAAAGAUGGCCUCUACAUGUAAGCUAUCGUUUAGAGAUGGGUCUGCGUCUGAUUAGCUAGUUGGUGAGGUAAAGGCUCACCAAGGCGACGAUCAGUAGCCGGUCUGAGAGGAUGAACGGCCACACUGGGACUGAGACACGGCCCAGACUCCUACGGGAGGCAGCAGUGGGGAAUCUUCCGCAAUGGACAAAAGUCUGACGGAGCAACGCCGCGUGAGUGAAGAAGGUCUUCGGAUUGUAAAGCUCUGUCGUUUGGGACGAACGUGGAUUGUGUGAAUAAUGCAAUCUAAUGACGGUACCGUACGAGGAAGCCCCGGCAAACUACGUGCCAGCAGCCGCGGUAAUACGUAGGGGGCGAGCGUUGUCCGGAAUCACUGGGCGUAAAGCGCACGUAGGCGGGCUGUC
rnacentral:rRNA from 1 species